rnacentral:rRNA from 1 species
UCAUAGAAUUUCUUCAAAUUCAUGAUGUCGUAAGGGAAAAUAAUGAUAAUACCUUACUAUGAGUGUCGUCCAAAUCUGGUGCCAGAAGACUCGGUAAGACCAGAGACGCAAACGUUAAUCAUCAUAAACAGGCGUAAAGGGUUUGUAGGCAGCUUUUAUAAGAUUAUGAUUGCAAAAAAUAAAGGGUAAUCUAAAUUGAAAGCUAGAAUCAAAAAGAGGUUAUAGUGUAUAACGCCUAGAGGAGGGCUGAUAUCCAUAGAUCCUAGGCAGAAUAUUCAGGGCGAAGGCCACUCUCCAUUAAUGAUUGACGCUGAGAAACGAAGGUUAGGGUAGGAAAUAGGAUUAGAUACCCCGGUACUCCUUUCUGUAAACGAUGAAUGGUAGUCAUUAGUUAAAUUAAAAUAACUAGAGGCGAAGUUAACACAAUAACCAUUCCGCCUUGUGAGUACUACUGCAAAGUAGAAAACAAAAAAAUUAGUCGGUCUCGAAGCAAACGGAGUGAAGCAUGUUAUUUA